GAUGAACGCUGGCGGCGUGCCUAAUACAUGCAAGUCGAGCGAACGGACGAGAAGCUUGCUUUUCUGAUGUUAGCGGCGGACGGGUGAGUAACACGUGGAUAACCUACCUAUAAGACUGGGAUAACUUCGGGAAACCGGAGCUAAUACCGGAUAAUAUUUUGAACCGCAUGGUUCAAAAGUGAAAGACGGUCUUGCUGUCACCUAUAGAUGGAUCCGCGCUGCAUUAGCUAGUUUGUAAGGUAACGGCUUACCAAGGCAACGCUGCAUAGCCGACCUGAGAGGUUGAUCGCCGACACUAGAACUGAGCCACGUUCCAGCCUCCUACGGCAGGCAGCAGUAGGCAAUCUUCCGCAAUGGGCGAAAGCCUGACAGAGCAACGCCGCGUGAGUGAUGAAGGUCUUCGGAUCGUAAUACUCUGUUAUUAGGGAAGAACAUAUGUGUAAGUAACUGUACACAUCUUGACGGUACCUAGUCAGAAAGCCACGGCUAACUCCGUG
rnacentral:rRNA from 1 species